rnacentral:rRNA from 1 species
GGGCCGUACGCGUGCUAUAAUGCAGUCGAGCGGACCGACGGGAGCUUGCUCCCUUAGGUCAGCGGCGGACGGGUGAGUAACACGUGGGUAACCUGCCUGUAAGACUGGGAUAACUCCGGGAAACCGGGGCUAAUACCGGAUGCUUGAUUGAACCGCAUGGUUCAAUCAUAAAAGGUGGCUUUUAGCUACCACUUACAGAUGGACCCGCGGCGCAUUAGCUAGUUGGUGAGGUAACGGCUCACCAAGGCGACGAUGCGUAGCCGACCUGAGAGGGUGAUCGGCCACACUGGGACUGAGACACGGCCCAGACUCCUACGGGAGGCAGCAGUAGGGAAUCUUCCGCAAUGGACGAAAGUCUGACGGAGCAACGCCGCGUGAGUGAUGAAGGUUUUCGGAUCGUAAAACUCUGUUGUUAGGGAAGAACAAGUACCGUUCGAAUAGGGCGGCACCUUGACGGUACCUAACCAGAAAGCCACGGCUAACUACGUGCCAGCAGCCGCGGUAAUACGUAGGUGGCAAGCGUUGUCCGGAAUUAUUGGGCGUAAAGCGCGCGCAGGCGGUUUCUUAAGUCUGAUGUGAAAGCCCCCGGCUCAACCGGGGAGGGUCAUUGGAAACUGGGGAACUUGAGUGCAGAAGAGGAGAGUGGAAUUCCACGUGUAGCGGUGAAAUGCGUAGAGAUGUGGAGGAACACCAGUGGCGAAGGCGACUCUCUGGUCUGUAACUGACGCUGAGGCGCGAAAGCGUGGGGAGCGAACAGGAUUAGAUACCCUGGUAGUCCACGCCGUAAACGAUGAGUGCUAAGUGUUAGAGGGUUUCCGCCCUUUAGUGCUGCAGCAAACGCAUUAAGCACUCCGCCUGGGGAGUACGGUCGCAAGACUGAAACUCAAAGGAAUUGACGGGGGCCCGCACAAGCGGUGGAGCAUGUGGUUUAAUUCGAAGCAACGCGAAGAACCUUACCAGGUCUUGACAUCCUCUGACAACCCUAGAGAUAGGGCUUCCCCUUCGGGGGCAGAGUGACAGGUGGUGCAUGGGUUGUCGUCAGCUCGUGUCGUGAGAUGUUGGGUUAAGUCCCGCAACGAGCGCAACCCUUGAUCUUAGUUGCCAGCAUUCAGUUGGGCACUCUAAGGUGACUGCCGGUGACAAACCGGAGGAAGGUGGGGAUGACGUCAAAUCAUCAUGCCCCUUAUGACCUGGGCUACACACGUGCUACAAUGGGCAGAACAAAGGGCAGCGAAGCCGCGAGGCUAAGCCAAUCCCACAAAUCUGUUCUCAGUUCGGAUCGCAGUCUGCAACUCGACUGCGUGAAGCUGGAAUCGCUAGUAAUCGCGGAUCAGCAUGCCGCGGUGAAUACGUUCCCGGGCCUUGUACACACCGCCCGUCACACCACGAGAGUUUGUAACACCCGAAGUCGGUGAGGUAACCUUUGGAGCCAGCCGCCGAAGUGACAGAUAGUG